rnacentral:lncRNA from 1 species
CUUGUUUACCUAUUAAAAUUAAUCUAGAGCACAAUCAUUUGGUUCAGUGUUUUUUAAUUGAUAAAUUAAGAAGUAUGUUAUUAAGUGUUAAAUAUGCUUUUGAAGAAAAUAUUUUAUUUAUUCAUAUGACUUUUAAAGGAAAUAAAAAUGUUAACAGGCAAAUAACAAGUGACUCCCAGGAUUAUGUGUUUAAUGAGUCAGAUAAUUACUUGCACAAGCCCGAAAAGGUUUUAGUAUUUAAUUAUAUGAAUUCCUCUUUCUUACUUGUAACAGAGGAAGGGACGCACCAAAUAAACAUGCUCCGAUAUUAUUACGAAGAUCAGAAUCCAACAAUUGAGUUCACGACUAAAAUAAAUAAUGCGCAUUUGGACAAGGGUACACUGGAAGGUGCUUAUACUUUCUAUGAUCAUCAUGAGACAACAAGUAAAAACGCUGUUUUAUUUAUAUAUUACUAUGAAAAUAAAACCCAGUUUUUAUUUAUUCCUUUAUCGAAAUUUAUAAAUAGUAAUCCAUUAAAAUAUAAAUAUGAACCUCUGAUAGCAAAUAAUCAAAGUUCAUAUAUUAUGAAACUUAACAUAGAUCAAUUAACACAGAUGAACUUAUUAUAUAGCUUUACUUUGAUGACCCCUAUAAACUAUGCUGUUGCAAUGUCUAGUAAUGAUGGAUCUUUAGAGUUGAUGUUAUAUAAUCUUAGUAGUGAUAAAAUCAAUAUAUCCGUUAAAAUUGAUGGACCCUUUAUAGAACAAAAGGCAAUAGUCAAUUUAACAGUAUACUGUCGUGAUGGGCUUAUAUUAAAAGAUGGAGAAUGUAAAAAAUGUCCAAUAGGGACUUAUUACAAUUUCACAGAAUAUCUUAAAGACCAAACAAGAGAUGAAUGUAUCGAUUGCCCUAUAAAUACAACUACUAAAAAUAUUGGUUCUACUAAAAUAACUCAGUGUAUGUGUGUACCUGGAUAUAAAUAUGAACAAAAUAAUGAAUGUACUCAAUGUGAUGUUGGAACUUGGAAACCAUUUGUUGAUAAUUCCCAAUGUAUUUUUCAGUGUUAUCCUAACUCAUACAGUACUGUUAUAGGUAGUAGUAGUGAAAAACAGAGUCAAUGUAAAUGUAAUGAAGGAUUUUAUUUUGUUUCUAAAGGGUUAGUAAAAUAUUGUGAGAAUUGUCCAAUAGGUUAUUUUUGUCCUGGUGGUCACGAAGGAAAACAAUUCAAAUGUCCCGAUAAUACUACUAAUUUAACUCAAAAUAAUAAAUCCAUUAAAAGUUGUAAAUGUGUAGAAGGUUAUGAACCAUAUGUUUCGUCUGAAUUAAACUAUGAUUUUAAGAAACAUGCAGUUUUAGAAAAUUAUAGUAUGUUUUUAUUAGAAGUUAACAGCUCACAAAUAUGUGUACCUUGUAAAAAAGGUUUUUAUAAAAGUAACGUUUCUGAAGAUGUUUGUAUUCAAUGUUCCACAAAUGUUAGUACGAGUAAAAGUGAAUCAACUUCUGUUCAAAAUUGUAAUGAAUGUGAUCCAGGAUAUUAUCUCGAAUCAGAUAAUAAGUGUGUAUUGUGUCCAGAUAAUCAUUAUUGUCCAGGAGGAACAAAAACCACCAUAGGAGGUGU